CAGCUCUUAAUGGGAUUAAGAUGGGUGAUAAAACUCUUACUGUCAGACGUGCAAGUCAAGGUACUUUACAGCCUAAGCCAGAGCAUGGGAUUAAGAUGGGGGAUAAAACUCUUACCGUCAGACGUGCAAGUCAAGGUACUUUACAGCCUAAGCCAGAGCAGGAGAGUAUAUUAAUGCAUGCUCAGCAACAAAUAGCACUGCAGAGAGUCAUGCUACAACCUGGUGGACCUCCUACUAAAGUCUUAUGCCUAACAAAUGUGGUUAGCGCACAUGAGCUCAAAGAUGAUGAAGACUAUGAAGAUAUAGUGGAAGAUAUGUGUUUAUCCUUUUGUUAUUCAAUCUGUGUUGCUUUUUGUUUCUUUCCUUUGCUUGUUUGGACAAUUUAUUCUAGGCUGUCAAAUUCUUAUACUGUUUCUUAAGGGGAAAUGUCGACUGAUCUUUGGGCCUGCGGCUUGUUUUUGUGGCUAUUGAUUUGCAGAGACUCAUGCUACAACCUGGUGGACCUCCUACUAAAGUCUUAUGCCUAACAAAUGUGGUUAGCGCGGAUGAGCUCAAAGAUGAUGUAGACUAUGAAGAUAUAGUGGAAGAUAUGAGAACUGAAUGCGGGAAAUUUGGUAAAUACAUUCAGUUACUUCAAACGCAUCAAGCUAGCCUUGUUCUUUCCUUUUGAAUACUCAAGCUUUAUAUCUAAUAGCUCUUUUAUGUUUUUAUGUGGCAUAAAUCUUUGCAAGUCUUAAAUAUCAUGAGCUUAGCCAUAAAUAUAAUCGAC
rnacentral:lncRNA from 1 species